UCUUCAUUUCCCACACUAUCUCACCGGUCAGAGAGGCGAGAGAGAGUGUGCGAAAUGAAGAGA
rfam:Pristionchus pacificus strain PS312 contig2286, whole genome shotgun sequence.